rfam:Picea glauca, whole genome shotgun sequence.
AACUCUUGAAAACGAUUGUCUUGACUAUCAUUAUGAUUAAGAAUGGAGAAAAAUGGGAUGUUUAGUGUGAAUUGUAGAAUCUCAUGAAUCAUCGAGUUUUUCAAUGUAAUUUGUACUCAAGGCCUUUGUUGAAAGCACACCUGUAUGGGCAUUU